UACAGAGGGUGCAAGCGUUGUUCGGAAUUACUGGGCGUAAAGGGCGUGUAGGCGGUUUAGCAAGUCAGAUGUGAAAUCCCAGGGCUUAACUCUGGAAGUGCAUUUGAAACUGCUAGGCUAGAGUAUAGUAGAGGUUGGCGGAAUACCCAGUGGAGAGGUGAAAUUCGUAGAUAUUGGGUGGAACACCGGUGGCGAAGGCGGCCAACUGGGCUAUAACUGACGCUGAGGCGCGAGAGCGUGGGGAGCAAACAGG
rnacentral:rRNA from 1 species